rnacentral:ncRNA from 2 species
AAUUCCAUGAGCGCUUUCGGUUCCGCCAUGACGCGCGGAUGAAAAGGGAACAUCGGUGCGGAUUACCCAUCAGGGGCCAAGACCGGGGCUGCCCUCGCAACUGUAAGCGGCGAGCGACCUGCAAUCACCACUGGCCGAAAAGGCUGGGAAGGGGCAGGGCGCGAUAGAGCCGCGAGCCAGGAGACCUGCCGCAAGCGCAAGACCAUG